rnacentral:rRNA from 1 species
CCUACGGGUGGCAGCAGUGGGGAAUAUUGCGCAAUGGGCGAAAGCCUGACGCAGCGACGCCGCGUGAGGGAUGAAGGUCUUCGGAUCGUAAACCUCUGUCAGCAGGGAAGAACGGUCACUGUGCUAAUCAGCAGUGAAUUGACGGUACCUACAAAGGAAGCACCGGCUAACUCCGUGCCAGCAGCCGCGGUAAUACGGAGGGUGCGAGCGUUAAUCGGAAUUACUGGGCGUAAAGCGCUCGUAGGCGGUAUGUCAAGUCAAGGGGGAAAUCCCCGCGCUCAACGUGGGAACUGCCUUUGAAACUGGCAAACUGGAGUGUGUGAGAGGAGAGUGGAAUUCCAGGUGUAGGAGUGAAAUCCGUAGAUAUCUGGAGGAACAUCAGUUGCGAAGGCGACUAUCUGGCACAUAACUGACGCUGAGGAGCGAAAGCGUGGGUAGCAAACAGGAUUAGAUACCCCUGUAGUC